UCGCAUGACCAUCUCAUCCUUGCGUUCAUAUCAUUGCCAGGCGGCGGCGACACGAUUACGGCGACGAUGAGAGGGCGAUAUGCGGCUUCCUCCUGAUCCGGGACGUGCCUACGCACCGACGCGAUGAGCCGCCGUCGCCUACGCAAGCUACAGGCGCGUUAUUGAUCGGCCAGGAUGGAUUGAUUAGUGAAAUCACGGAACGUGUCAAGGUACAAAUAGAUCUUGCUCUAAUCUUAUACUCCAUAACUGUACUCCAAUUUCUCUUUAUGUGCGCAUCGAUUUCUAGUACGGUGCAGCUGGGCAGGACAGAGCCGCCGGCCGGCGGCCGCGCGCGGCCGAGCGGCUAUGGUGAAGCGAGUUCUAUGUACAAGAAGGCAGACUAUCUUUCCCUUAACGCUGCGGCUAUGCCUACACGUUGCAACAACCCUCCAAGGAAGAUCUGGCUGCGUAGGAUCGAUUAAUCAUGGAGGACGCGUGCAUAUACAAGAAGCUGGAUUUUUUGUGUGGAUAAGAAGCUAGAAUUAAACGAUGCUCUUUUGUGAUACACAUACACAAGUUAAAUCUUGUUAUUUUUUUGGAGUGGACAAAUACUACUGUUUGAAAUGAAUUGUA